ACAGUGAGCUCAAGAAACCACCAAACACAGAGCAAAAACAAGGAUUUGAGGCACAGUUCCACACUUUCUAGCUAUGAGAGCUUGGCCAAGCUACUUAAUUCUCCAGCCUUAUAUUUUCUCGGCUAAAAAUAUAUGGGGCAAGUCUUGUGAAGAUGCAAUGAGAUAAUGGAUGGGAAAGCCCUUUGUGAAGUGUAAAGCAACACACAAAUGCAGAAAUAACAACUAACAGAAGGCUCCCAACUGGAGGAUCAUGUGGAAAAAUGGAAGAACUGAGACUAUCUUCUGGCCAUGAACAGAAGGAGAAAAGAUUGUGGAUAUACUCCAAUCAACAAUAAAGCGAACAACAUAUAUUAGUGC